AACAAAUUUGCAAACGCGUAAAA
rnacentral:snRNA from 1 species